rnacentral:rRNA from 1 species
GACGAACGCUGGCGGCGUGCUUAACACAUGCAAGUCGAACGGUGAAAGCGGAGCUUGCUCCGCUGGAUCAGUGGCGAACGGGUGAGUAACACGUGGGCAACCUGCCCCUCACUUCGGGAUAACUCCGGGAAACCGGGGCUAAUACCGGAUAUGACCUCCUUGGGCAUCCUUGGAGGUGGAAAGUUUUUCGGUGAGGGAUGGGCCCGCGGCCUAUCAGCUUGUUGGUGAGGUAGGGGCUCACCAAGGCGACGACGGGUAGCCGGCCUGAGAGGGCGACCGGCCACACUGGGACUGAGACACGGCCCAGACUCCUACGGGAGGCAGCAGUGGGGAAUAUUGCACAAUGGGCGGAAGCCUGAUGCAGCAACGCCGCGUGAGGGAUGACGGCCUUCGGGUUGUAAACCUCUUUUAGCAGGGAAGAAGCGUGAGUGACGGUACCUGCAGAAAAAGCACCGGCUAACUUCGUGCCAGCAGCCGCAGUAA